ACCAUGUGGCGACACAGAGCGGACCCGAAAGCCGGUCUCAGUUCGGAUUGGAGUCUGCAACCCGACUCCAUGAAGCUGGAUUCGCUAGUAAUCGCGCAUCAGCCAUGGCGCGGUGAAUACGUUCCCGGGCCUUGUACACACCGCCCGUCAAGCCAUGGGAGCCGGGAGUGCCUGAAGUGCGUGACCGCAAGGAGCGCCCUAAGGCAAGACCGGUGACUGGGGCUAAGUCGUAACAAGGUAGC
rnacentral:rRNA from 1 species